GAUGAACGCUGGCGGCGUGCCUAAUACAUGCAAGUCGAGCGAACGGACGAGAAGCUUGCUUUUCUGAUGUUAGCGGCGGACGGGUGAGUAACACGUGGAUAACCUACCUAUAAGACUGGGAUAACUUCGGGAAACCGGAGCUAAUACCGGAUAAUAUUUUGAACCGCAUGGUUCAAAAGUGAAAGACGGUCUUGCUGUCACUUAUAGAUGGAUCCGCGCUGCAUUAGCUAGUUGGUAAGGUAACGGCUUACCAAGGCAACGAUGCAUAGCCGACCUGAGAGGGUGAUCGGCCACACUGAAACUGAGACACGGUCCAGACUCCUACGGGAGGCAGCAGUAGGGAAUCUUCCGCAAUGGGCGAAAGCCUGACGGAGCAACGCCGCGUGAGUGAUGAGGGUCUUCGGAUCGUAAAACUCUGUUAUUAGGGAAGAACAUAUGUGUAAAUAACUGUGCACAUCUUGACGGUACCUAAUCAGAAAGCCACGGCUAACUACGU
rnacentral:rRNA from 1 species